rnacentral:rRNA from 2 species
UACGAAGGGGGCUAGCGUUGUUCGGAAUCACUGGGCGUAAAGGGCGCGUAGGCGGCUGUUCAAGUCGGGGGUGAAAUCCCGUGGCUCAACCACGGAAUGGCCUUCGAUACUGGACGGCUCGAGACCGGAAGAGGUGAGUGGAACUGCGAGUGUAGAGGUGAAAUUCGUAGAUAUUCGCAAGAACACCAGUGGCGAAGGCGGCUCACUGGUCCGGUUCUGACGCUGAGGCGCGAAAGCGUGGGGAGCAAACAGG